rnacentral:rRNA from 1 species
UACGAAGGGGGCUAGCGUUGUUCGGAAUUACUGGGCGUAAAGCGUGCGUAGGCGGCUUUGUCAGUCAGAGGUGAAAUCCCGGGGCUCAACCUCGGAAUUGCCUUUGAUACUGCGAAGCUUGAAUGCGAGAGAGGUGAGUGGAAUUCCGAGUGUAGAGGUGAAAUUCGUAGAUAUUCGGAGGAACACCAGUGGCGAAGGCGGCCACCUGGCUCGUUAUUGACGCUGAGGCACGAAAGCGUGGGGAGCAAACAGG